rnacentral:rRNA from 1 species
UACAGAGGUCUCAAGCGUUGUUCGGAUUCAUUGGGCGUAAAGGGUGUGUAGGUGGCGCCGUAAGUCGGGUGUGAAAUUUCGGAGCUUAACUCCGAAACUGCAUUCGAUACUGCGGUGCUUGAGGACUGGAGAGGAGACUGGAAUUCAUGGUGUAGCAGUGAAAUGCGUAGAGAUCAUGAGGAAGACCAGUGGCGAAGGCGGGUCUCUGGACAGUUCCUGACGCUGAGACACGAAAGCGUGGGUAGCAAACAGG